UACAGAGGGGGCAAGCGUUAUUCGGAAUUAUUGGGCGUAAAGGGCGCGUAGGCGGCCUUUCAAGUGACGGGUGAAAUCCCUCGGCUUAACCGAGGAACUGCCUGUCAGACUGGAAGGCUUGAGACCGGGAGAGGUGAGUGGAAUUCCCAGUGUAGCGGUGAAAUGCGUAGAUAUUGGGAGGAACACCAGUGGCGAAGGCGGCUCACUGGACCGGAACUGACGCUGAGGCGCGAAAGCGUGGGGAGCAAACAGG
rnacentral:rRNA from 1 species